rnacentral:rRNA from 1 species
GAUGAACGCUGGCGGCGUGCCUAAUACAUGCAAGUCGAGCGAACGGACGAGAAGCUUGCUUCUCUGAUGUUAGCGGCGGACGGGUGAGUAACACGUGGAUAACCUACCUAUAAGACUGGGAUAACUUCGGGAAACCGGAGCUAAUACCGGAUAAUAUUUUGAACCGCAUGGUUCAAAAGUGAAAGACGGUCUUGCUGUCACUUAUAGAUGGAUCCGCGCUGCAUUAGCUAGUUGGUAAGGUAACGGCUUACCAAGGCAACGAUGCAUAGCCGACCUGAGAGGGUGAUCGGCCACACUGGAACUGAGACACGGUCCAGACUCCUACGGGAGGCAGCAGUAGGGAAUCUUCCGCAAUGGGCGAAAGCCUGACGGAGCAACGCCGCGUGAGUGAUGAAGGUCUUCGGAUCGUAAAACUCUGUUAGUAGGGAAGAACAGAUGUGUAAGUAACUGUGCACAUCUUGACGGUACCUAAUCAGAAAGCCACGGCUAACUACGUG